rnacentral:misc_RNA from 1 species
GAAAUGCGAUAAGUAAUGUGAAUUGCAGAAUUCAGUGAAUCAUCGAAUCUUUGAACGCACAUUGCGCCCGUCAGCAUUCUGGCGGGCAUGCCUGUUCGAGCGUCAUUUCAACCCUCAGGACCCCCCUUUCGCGGGGAGGGACCUGGCGUUGGGGAUCGGCCCGCCCCCCGCGGCGGCGCCGUCCCCGAAAUCUAGAGGCGGUCUCGCUGCAGCCUCCCCUGCGUAGUAGUUACAACCUCGCAUCGGAGCGCGGCGCGGCCACGCCGUAAAACCCCCGACUUUCUGAACGUUGACCUCGGAUCAGGUAGGAAUACCCGCUGAACUUAAGC